CUUCAUGGAUGGGUUAAAUGCGGAGCUGAAAUUUCCCCGUUAUGGGACUAAUAAGGGUCUCUUAAUCUUAAAUUGCUGUAGGCUGAAGAGGCAGAUAUAUCUUGUUUUUUAUGACAUCACAGAACUACAUAUGCAGCUUAAGCAGUUCUCAAAUGUUGCUAGGUUGUUUUGAGGUGGUUGCCAUGGUAUGUCAGUUGGUUGCUAGGGUGUUGCAAGGUAGUUGCUAUGGUAUCUUUGGAGGUUGCUAGGGUGUCAUUAGGUAGUUGCUGUGGUGACUGCUGGGAGCUAGGGUGUUGCUAAGUGGUUGCUAUGUUGUCUUUACUGGGUGCUAGGGUGUUGCUAGGUAGUUGCUAUGGUAUCUUUCGAGGUUGCUAGGGUGAAACUACAUAGUUGCUCUGGUAUCUUUGGAGGUUGCUAAGGUGUUACUAGGUGGUUGCUAUGGUAUCUCUGAUGGCUGCUAUGGUGUUGCUAGGUGGUCGCUAGGGUAUCUCUGUUGGGUGCUAGGGUGUUGCCAGGUGAUAUAUCGGGUGGUUGCUAAUUACUUUGGAGAGUGCAUUAACUUAAUUUUUGCAGCUUAGCUUCUUAUAUGAACUGAAUGGACAAUUUUGAAGCUUUGAAAUGUUUACAGACUACAUCAACUCUUUUUAUAAUUCCUUAUAAAAUAGGAAAAUGUGUAUUUUCAUGAUAUUUAUUAGUCCCUUAAGAAAUGACUCAGUGAUUUUUCAAUCAAAAUGAAUUGGAGAGCAUGAUGUUCACAUCUCGGCAUACAUCAGACUUGAAGAGCUGUGAAGGAUCCUGAUGGACCAUGGGUGGAUGGUGGAGAAGGAGCGUGAGAGUGGCGUCUGCGGCUGUUCAUUAUUGCCUGAAUUUGCCUCAUUCUGAUAUCUGACCUCUUGCCUUCCUCUGACCUUCGUGCUUCACCCUAGUUGACCCUCAUGCAUGUGCCCUGACCAGUGAAUCCAAAGUUUGUGACAUUGCACUUAUCUCUGUGGCUUUACCUUGAGCUUUCCUGAUGAUGUACGCACCUCUAGCUUGUCUUUUUUUUAUCUUCCAACUGAUUACAGUAGCCUGAGAAUGAAUAUGAUGAGCUCUUGAGUCUUAAUUUGAGCGUGUUGUUCUGUGUAAAUGAAGUCUAAUCGAAAUCUCCUCUGUUAGAGUCUCACUCUCAGUGUUGCAUUCUGCUGUACUGAUGUGCUCCCUCUCUCUUUCUCUCUCGCUCGCUUUCCUUUUCUCGCUGUAUCUCGCUCUCCCUUUCCCUCUUUUUCUCUCUUUCUUUGUGUUUCUCAUUCUCUCCUUUUUCAUCCCUGACCUCGCUGUUUGACUCUCUCUAUUCUCCCUCUUUCUCUCACUGGUUCUCUCGCUCCUUUUGUUUUUCUAUCUUCUCUCCAUCGUUCUUUUGUUUCUCUCUCUCUCUCUCUUUUUCAUCUUUUGUGCUUGCUCUUCUUUUUAUCUUUCUCUACUCUUUCACUCUCACUCAUUCACUCUCUUCUGCCUCUCUUUCUUGCUCUCUGGCUACCUUUUCUCUCUCUCCCUCUCUCUCUCUCUCUCUCUCUCUCUCUCUCCCCCUCUUUUCCUCCUCUAAUUCCAGUUAUAGUGCUGUGCUGUAUUGCUGACACUGAGAGCUUUACUAAAAUAAACACAGGAGAAACAUUA